rnacentral:rRNA from 1 species
GAUGAACGCUGGCGGCGUGCCUAAUACAUGCAAGUCGAGCGAACGGACGAGAAGCUUGCUUCUCUGAUGUUAGCGGCGGACGGGUGAGUAACGCGUGGAUAACCUACCUAUAAGACUGGGAUAACUUCGGGAAACCGGAGCUAAUACCGGAUAAUAUUUUGAACCGCAUGGUUCAAAAGUGAAAGACGGUCUUGCUGUCACUUAUAGAUGGAUCAGCGCUGCAUUAGCUAGUUGGUAAGGUAACGGCUUACCAAGGCAACGAUGCAUAGCCGACCUGAGAGGGUGAUCGGCCACACUGGAACUGAGACACGGUCCAGACUCCUACGGGAGGCAGCAGUAGGGAAUCUUCCGCAAUGGGCGAAAGCCUGACGGAGCAACGCCGCGUGAGUGAUGAAGGUCUUCGGAUCGUAAAACUCUGUUAUUAGGGAAGAACAUAUGUGUAAGUAACUGUGCACAUCUUGACGGUACCUAAUCAGAAAGCCACGGCUAACUACGUG